rnacentral:lncRNA from 10 species
AAAGUAACAGGGAAGAAGAAAGGCGGAUUUAAGAUAUGAGCUUAAUAGAGUGUAGUAGGUAUAGGUAGUAGGCAAAGUGAGAGAAUUAAAAAUGAAUGAAUUAUUUGGCUUAGUCUUCGCUUCUUCAGCACAAUGUCUGGGGCCUAUGUUGUUUGCGGAAGCCGCAUUUUUGAGGCUACAGUUCCUGUAGGAUCUUUCUUAGGCUGGCUCGAAUUUUUUCUUCUUUCCGUCAUUUGAUGAGGACGUAGUCUUCAGGCUGGUACUGGAAAUUCUAGGAGUGGUGCCUGUGCUGAGAGACUUUUUACCAUCUUUAAAGAGCAGGAAGAUUCACUUCCAGAGCCUUGAGACAACAUGUAAAAAGUUCAACUACCCUGAGACUGCAGUGAUGGAGAUGUCAUGUGGAGAGACCACAUGGAAAGUCCCUGAAGCUACAGGAGGAGAGCGAGAGAGAGAGAGAAAGAGAUCGAUCCCCCAAGAGACUUCAAUCAUUUGAGUCAUCCCAGCCCAGGAACCAGACAUGUGAAUGAAGAAGCUACCAGAUAAUCCCAGCCACCAGAUACCAGCUCCCAGCCACUGGAGGCACUCCCCCACUCUUCAAGUCUCCCCACCUUAAGCCCUAGAUGUCAUGGAUCAGAGACAAACCAUCCCCACUAUGCCCUGUCCAAACUUCAGACCCACAAAAACCAUGAGCAUAUUAAAAAUGAUUGCUGUUUUAUGCCACUGAGUUCUCGGAUGGUUUCUUACACAGCAAUCGAAAACUGGAACACGGCUGGGUGCAGUGGCUCAUGACUGUAAUCCCGGCACUUUGGGAGGCUGAGACAGGUGGAUCACCUGAGGUCAGGAGUUCAAGACCAGCCUGGCCAACAUGGUGAAACCCCAUCUCUACUAAAAAAAAUACAAAAAAUUAGCCAGGCGUGGUGGCGUGAGCCUGUAAUCCCAGCUACUUGGGAGGCUGAGGCAGCAGAAUUGCUUGAACCCGGGAGGCAGAGAUGGCAUUGAGCCAAGACCACACCAUUGCACUCUAGCCUGGGCAAUGAGACAGAAGCUGCAUCUCAAAAAAAAAAAAGAAAGAAAGAAAGAAAAAAGAAAAGAAGAAAGGAAACUGGAACAGAUAACCUCACUCACAGCUGGAGGUUGGUCGGCUGACAGUUUAGGCCAUGAGGGUGACUGAGCCAUGUGCCUCUCACCUUUCAGGCUACCUCUGGCUUGUUCACAUGAUGGUUAAGAGUGGCAAGAUCAGUGCAAAAUGACAAAGUAGACAGUUCCAAGCCCGCGUUCCCCACAGAAACAUCAAAAAACAAGCAGAAACUGUCAGAUACAACUUUGUCAGAACUCUGGGAAACAGUCAAAGGUUUACGGUAGUCCAGUGAAUGCUGAAUCAAGAAGAAAGACAACUUCAAAAUGAUCAAAAGCUUUUGAUAUUUCGACUUGCGUUUGCCCCACUUGCCACUGCCCUCCCUUGUGUGACAGCAGUAGUGGGAAGAGGGAAGCCCACACUCCCAGCAUGAGACUCUCAUUCCUCCUUCCAGAGGGAGCAGAGCAGACUUUAUUUGUAGAUGAUAGUGUAUGUCCGCUCUAAGCUGUCUGGGAGCCACCUGAAGGACAAGGUGCUCAUCUCUGGUCUUCCUGCCUCGGAACUCAGGCUGGAAAAGUGGUGGCACUGCUCAAAAACACUGCAAGCCAAACUAACAAACCACAGAUGUCUGUUCCAAAGAUUACAAUCAAAACACACAAUAGACGGCCUAAGGCUCAGGAGCAAAAGCUGGGGAGAGUUUCCUGGGGAAAUUAGAAGCACCUGCAUGCAUAGGGGGAUUUAUAAACACAGGGUUAUGCCCACAGCAAGAUGCAUGCUCAGAAAAGACCUGAGAAGACCCUAAGUUAUGCUCAGCUGAUCCCUAGGCUCAGGGCAAGCUGGGUUAAAUGUUGAAAGAGUGCUCCAGCACAGGGCCAAUCUGCAAAGACUGAGCGAGGGAAAGAUUUUUUGUUUGGUUGGUUUGCUUGCUUUUUUAGCUCCUGGUAUUCAAGAAAAUCUGUCAAAACACUAGCUGAACACAAGCUAAGGAAUAGAGACUUCAGUGACCACAUGCGACAAGUAAUAUAGUCUUUGCAAGAAUAGUUUUGGAAAGUCAUUAAGCCAAAACUACUACGGUCUUUAACAAUAAAACAAACAACAAACCAGCAAACCCUGGGACAGUGGGAGAAUCUGACAUCCAAAUUUAUCACAUUACAAAUAUUCAAAUGUCCAGUUUUUAACAAGAAAAAUCACAAGGUAUACAGAGAAAAAGGAAAUUAUGGCCCAUUGAAAGGGGAAAAAAAAUAACAAAUUGAAAGGAAUUAUUCCUGAGAAAGUCCAGAUCUGAGACUUACUAGACAAAGACUUUAAAAUAAUUGUCUUAAAUAUGCUCAAAGAGCUAAGGGAAAACAUGGACAAAAAUCUAAAGGAAACCAGGAAAACAAUGUAUGAAUAAAAUGAGACUAUCAAUAAAGAAAUGGCCAGGCGUGGUGGCUCAUGCCUAUAAUCCCAGCACCUUAGGAGGCUGAGUUGGGUGGAUCACUUGAGGUCAGGAGUUCGAGACCAGCCUGGCCAACGUGGGGAAACCUCAUCUCUACUGAAAAUAUAAAAAUUAGCUGGUCAUUGUGGCAGGCACCUGUAAUCCCAGCUACUCAGGAGGCUGAGAGAGGAGAAUCACUUGAACACAAGAGGCGGAGGCUGCAGUGAGCUGAGAUUGCGCUACUGCACUCCAGCCUGAGUGACAGAGUGAGAUCCUGUCUCAAAAAAAAAGAAAAAGAAAAAAAAGUAUGAAGGCCAGAAGACAGUGUGAUGACAUACUUAAAUUGCUGAAAGAAAAAAAAUCAACCAAUAAUUCAACAUCUUUCAAAACUCUUUCAGGCCAGGCGCAUUGGCUCACACCUGCAAUCCCAGCACUUUGGGAGGCCAAGGCGGGAGGAUGACCUGAGGUCAGGAGUUCGAGACCAACCUGACCAACGUGGAGAAACCCCAUCUCUACUAAAAAUACAAAAACUAGCUGGGCAUGGUGGCACACGCCUGCAAUCCCAGCUACUCGAGAGGCUGAGGCAGGAGAAUCACUUGAACCCAGGAGGCAAAGGUUGCAGUGAGCCAAGAUCGCACCACUAAACUCCAGCCUGAGCAUCAAAGUGAGACUCUGUCUCAAAAAAAAAAAAAAAAAAAAAAAAGCAGAGUUUGGCAGAAUAAUUUUAUUUUUUUAUUUUUUUUUUUUUGAGACAGAGUUUCCCUCUUUUUGCCCAGGCUGAAGUGCAAUGGUGUGAUGUCAGCUCACUGCAACCUCCGCCUCCCGGAUUCAAGCGAUUCUCCUGCCUCAGCCUCACAAGUAGCUGGGAUUACAGGCACCUGCCACCAUGCCUGGAUAAUUUUUUGUACUUUUAGUAGAGACGGGGUUUCACCAUGUUGGCCAGGAUGGUCACGAUCUCUUGACCUCGUGAUCCACCCACCUCGGCCUCCCAAAGUGCUGGGAUUACAGGAAUGAGCCACUGCGCGCGGCCUAGAUUGGCAGAAUAAUUUUUUAAAACAUGAUCUAUGUCUUUUUUUUUUUUUUUUUUUCGAGAGGGAGUUUCACUCUUAUUGCCCAGGCUGCAGUGCAAUGGAGCGAUCUCGGUUCACUGUAACCUCUGACUCCUGGGUUCAAGAGAUUCUCCUGCCUCAGCCUCCCGAGUACCUGGGAUUACAGGCACCCACCACCAUGCCCAGCUAAGUUUUUAUAUUUUUAGUAGAGGCGGGGUUUCAUCAUGUUGGUCAGGGUGGUCUCGAACUCCUGAC